rnacentral:rRNA from 2 species
UCAGGACGAACGCCGGCGGCGUGCCUAAUACAUGCAAGUCGAGCGGACCGACGGGAGCUUGCUCCCUUUAGGUCAGCGGCGGACGGGUGAGUAACACGUGGGUAACCUGCCUGUAAGACUGGGAUAACUCCGGGAAACCGGGGCUAAUACCGGAUGCUUGAUUGAACCGCAUGGUUCAAUCAUAAAAGGUGGCUUUUAGCUACCACUUACAGAUGGACCCGCGGCGCAUUAGCUAGUUGGUGAGGUAACGGCUCACCAAGGCGACGAUGCGUAGCCGACCUGAGAGGGUGAUCGGCCACACUGGGACUGAGACACGGCCCAGACUCCUACGGGAGGCAGCAGUAGGGAAUCUUCCGCAAUGGACGAAAGUCUGACGGAGCAACGCCGCGUGAGUGAUGAAGGUUUUCGGAUCGUAAAACUCUGUUGUUAGGGAAGAACAAGUACCGUUCGAAUAGGGCGGUACCUUGACGGUACCUAACCAGAAAGCCACGGCUAACUACGUGCCAGCAGCCGCGGUAAUACGUAGGUGGCAAGCGUUGUCCGGAAUUAUUGGGCGUAAAGCGCGCGCAGGCGGUUUCUUAAGUCUGAUGUGAAAGCCCCCGGCUCAACCGGGGAGGGUCAUUGGAAACUGGGGAACUUGAGUGCAGAAGAGGAGAGUGGAAUUCCACGUGUAGCGGUGAAAUGCGUAGAGAUGUGGAGGAACACCAGUGGCGAAGGCGACUCUCUGGUCUGUAACUGACGCUGAGGCGCGAAAGCGUGGGGAGCGAACAGGAUUAGAUACCCUGGUAGUCCACGCCGUAAACGAUGAGUGCUAAGUGUUAGAGGGUUUCCGCCCUUUAGUGCUGCAGCAAACGCAUUAAGCACUCCGCCUGAGACGCCGUUG